rnacentral:lncRNA from 1 species
GGGGAUUGAGAGAUAUAGUACAAAGGGCAGAUUAGAUCUAAAUCAUCCAAAUAAGACGAUGAUAUAAAAUGCCGUAGGAAUAGAGUUGGAGGUUGCCAUUGGGAUUGACUUUAGAGCUUUGAUGCUCGUGGUGGAAUGCUGAAGAUGGUAGCUACUGCAAAUUUUUGGUUUCGAUUCGUGAUAGCGGAGAGCUUGGUUGGUUUGGAGGGGAAGAUGAAGGAAUAGGGCUGUUAUAUAAUCGUAUUCUGGUGUGGUGAAUCCCAAAAAUUGAGGACGGUGCUAUCACAAGACUCGGGGAAAGAGGUCAUGAUUGCAGCAAUGACUCUUUUUGCUUUGGAAGGAUAUCAACUCGGAGCCUGUGAAGGUGCUGACAAGAGAAGAGAAUUUUAGAACAUAAUAUUAUAUUCAAAAAUUGGGGGGGCAUGUGUUGAAACCGGUUUUUAACUAGAGUCAACCAGUGAAGAUAAGGUUCUGACAACAGAUGAAAGAAAGAGAAAGAGUCUAUUGACACCUGGUGUUGACCAAGUCUAGCAGUGGAAGACCAGGUCCUAGAAGCCGAUAGAAGACCAGGGGAAUCCGAUCCGAGACAAAAUCGACUCCACCAAAUAAGGGAAAGCGCGGAGAUUUAUCUUUAAUACUAUCAAAUUCGUUUGUAAUAGUUCAUGUCGUAAUCGACUAGGGUUUUAGCAUGCUCUAGCGUAUAAAUAUAAACCCAUGAGCCUUAUAAAGACUAAUCAUCAAUCAAUCAAUCAACACAAACCUUUCAGCGCCACACCACUAAAAUCCUAUAAGUAGGAGCAUAGUAGAUUCAACGAGUUCCUUCCGGCGCGCACAGUUGCAUCAGCUUCGAUCUCAAGCGAGCUUGUAAGUACCGUCACCUAGUCAUCACGUGCUCUAUCAGAACUUUCUAAGUUAAGUCUUAUAUUCUGAUAUUCGUGCGUGUAUCUAGUUAUCAAGUUAUCUUAGAUUGCAAGUAGAACUUUCUAGGUUUUAUCCAAUAUUUUGUUUGUCUUCGAUGUUUCUCACAGUUAUCGAGUUGUUUGGUUUUAUUAAGUUGCAUCGUAUUGAUCUCUUAGUUUUAUCAAGCGCUCAGAGUUAUCGAACGACUUAGAUCUGAUUAAGUUUUCUUUAUCGGCUCCUUGAUCUUGUUUAAGCGUUCAUCAGUUAUCUGAUCGUAUUGGUGUUGACGGCAGUUAGCCUGCCAAUUUAUGAACUGCAAGUGUACAAAUCAGUUGUAGCUCUUCCCUUAG